rnacentral:rRNA from 1 species
AUCAAUAAGCGGAGGAAAAGAAACUAACAAGGAUUCCCUUAGUAACGGCGAGUGAAGUGGGAAGAGCCCAGCACCGAAUCCCCUGUCGUUGCGGCAGCGGGACCUGUGGUGUUUAGGAGAGCCUCUGUGGCGGGCAGCGGACGUCCAAGUCCUCCUGAUUGGGGCUUCGUCCAUAGCGGGUGUUAGGCCUCUACGGCAUCUGCUGUCCGUCGCUCUGAGCCUCCUUCGAGUCGGGUUGUUUGAGAAUGCAGCCCUAAGUGGGUGGUAAACUCCAUCUAAGGCUAAAUACUGGCACGAGACCGAUAGC